UGGGGAAUAUUGGACAAUGGGGGCAACCCUGAUCCAGCGACGCCGCGUGUGUGAAGAAGGCCUGCGGGUUGUAAAGCACUUUUAGUGGGGACAAAAAGCCAAGGGCUAAUACCCUUUGGUCUUGAUUUAACCCAAAGAAAAAGCACCGGCUAACUCUGUGCCAGCAGCCGCGGUAAUACAGAGGGUGCGAGCGUUAAUCGGAAUUACUGGGCGUAAAGCGAGCGUAGUCGGUUAUUUAAGUCGGGUGUGAAAUCCCCGGGCUCAACCUGGGAAUUGCAUUCGAUACUGGAUAGCUAGAGUUCGGCAGAGGGAAGCGGAAUUUCCGGUGUAGCGGUGAAAUGCGUAGAUAUCGGAAGGAACAUCAGUGGCGAAAGCGGCUUCCUGGACCAGAACUGACGAUCAGGCUCGAAAGCGUGGGGAGCAAACAG
rnacentral:rRNA from 1 species